rnacentral:rRNA from 1 species
GACGAACCGUGCGACCGUUGUUCGGAAUCACUGGGCAUAAAGGGCGCGUAGGCGGCUUGUCAAGUCAGGGGUGAAAUCCGGCAGCUUAACUGUCGAAGUGCCUUUGAUACUGAUGAGCUAGAGGGAGAUAGGGGUAUGCGGAACUUCCGGUGGAGCGGUGAAAUGCGUUGAUAUCGGAAGGAACGCCGGUGGCGAAAGCGGCGUACUGGAUCUCUUCUGACGCUGAGGCGCGAAAGCUAGGGGAGCAAACGGG